GGGGGGUCCGUGUUUGCGAUCUGAACCUUUGGUACCUACAAGGAGGGUGUCUCACCGAACGGUAGCUAAAACCUCACCAGAACCGCGCGGAAGUGAGAAGUCGCGGCCAAAGGCGCCCGCAGAAGCCUCCUCUCUGGGCCGGACCCCAGCCCGAGCGGCCGAAAGGAGCCCCCCGCCCGGAUCACAGCUGCUGCAGCUGCCGCUGAAAUUCGCUGUGGCCGCUGCCUCUUCCCGCUUUAAUCCCAGACCUCCAGUCAUUGGGCAGCUCCUCAGAGGCAAGAAGUCAACACCAUGGCAACCCGACAAGCCUAUCAAAUCACCGGCUGGCGUGACAGCAGCAACACUGCAGGCAGGAGUGGGCUGGGCGGAAGAGCAGAGUGGCCACUGCGCUCAGGUACACAGUCUGGGAGUGGACAGCAGCUGCUGGUCUCCACGUUCUGGCUACACAUAUGUGCACCACCCA
rnacentral:lncRNA from 1 species